AUGUCCGCAAGUCAACACCCCGGGAAUCUGGCUGACUUUGGGAACUCUUCGCGGAAACGGAAGCUGUCUGAAGCUGCUUUGACGUCCACGCCGAAACAACUUACCCUCAACUUUGCAAGCGGGCGGGUGCCUCAAAAGCAGCUGGGCAGCCUGAUUGUGAAUUUUGUUGUAGAUUCCCUGCAACCUUUCUCUGUCGUCGAGGCUCCCAGUUUCGUUAAACUUGUGGAUACCUUGGCCCCUGAAAACACGGUACCAACACGGAGAAUGCUGAUGGCGAGAAUCGACGAUAGGUACGAAGAGAUGAAGACAAGCCUGCGGAAAGCUUUCGACGAGGUUCCUUACGUCACUGUGACCGCCGACUGCUGGACAUCGUUCCGACGGUAAAAACUGGCAGCGACAGUUUCUUGGCUCGAGCCGGCUUCCCUGAAGGGGAACUCUGCAGUACCGAUCUGCCAAAGAAUGACGGGCAGCGUCACGCACGACAAGAUUGCAGACCUUCUUCUGGAGGUUUUCAAGGAGUACGGCCUUCAAGGAAAAGUCACCAAGGUUGUGACCGACAAUGGAUCCAAUUUUGUAAAAGCCUUCAGGGUGUUUGGCGAGCCUGUUCAGCCUGACGACCUAGAGCCUUCGGAGCAGGACGAUGAAGGCCUGGAGUUCGUGGAGGUAGCACCCCUGCUUGAAAACGUGGACCAAGGAGCUGAACCGCCCAUGCUACGGACGAUCGCCACCGGCAGACAGGACUCCCCCCUCACCAUAGAUGCAUUAAUAAGGCCCGUAGCAACGCGGUGGAACUCUCUCCACGAUGCGCUAGAGUGCGUGCACAAGUUGGAUGCUGAGGGCAAAGACUUCGACGGGUUAUGCAGGACCUUACAAGUUCCUCCCUUCCAGCGUCCACGUGACCUACUCUUCAUAGAAGAGUACUGUAAGGUCAUGAAGCCCCUCGCCUGUGCGAUUGACGUGGUUCAAAGAGAAGAACACAUGUUCAUGGGGUACCUGCUGCCAACGAUCACGGUACUCCAGCAGCGGCUCAGCCAUCUUCUCCAGGCGGGCCUAGCUUUCUCCGCGCCGCUUGUGAAUGCUCUGCUUGAUGGAAUCCAGAACCGGUUUGGUCCCCUGAUCAACGACCGGGAGCUGUUGCUAGCAGCCAUUGCGCUCCCCGGGUUUAAAGUCGGCUGGGUUCUUGGCGAAGCCAAGCGGCAGGAGCUAGCUCAGCUGCUAACGGACGAGCUGAACCGCCCAUGCUACGGAGGAUCGCCCACCGGCGGACAGGAACCUCCCGCUGACUGCGGAGGUUCCCCUGUUGACGAUUUCUUCGCUUUUUCGGCGCCAAGAUCGACCCGGGACAGUGGGGAAGUCUCACGCUACCUCAGCUCUCCGGACAGUUCGACGGAAAUGCUGAAGGAGUACCCCCGUCUACAAAAAGUGUUCAUUAUCACUCUAAAACCGAAUAACUUUGGUUAA